rnacentral:rRNA from 1 species
AUUGAACGCUGGCGGCAGGCCUAACACAUGCAAGUCGAACGAGUGGCGGACGGGUGAGUAAUGUCUGGGAAACUGCCUGAUGGAGGGGGAUAACUACUGGAAACGGUAGCUAAUACCGCAUACCAUCGGAUGUGCCCAGAGGGGAUUAGCUUGUGGGUGAGGUAACGGCUCACCUAGACGACGAUCCCUAGCUGGUCUGAGAGGAUGACCAGCAACACGGGAACUGAGACACGGUCCAGACUCCUACGGGAGGCAGCAGUGGGGAAUAUUGCACAAUGGGCGCAAGCCUGAUGCAGCCAUGCGGCGUGUAUGAAGAAGGCCUUCGGGUUGUAAAGUACUUUCAGCGGGGAGGCGUUACCCGCAGAAGAAGCACCGGCUAACUCCGUGCCAGCAGCCGCGGUAAUAC